AGUGAACGCUGGCGGCAGGCCUAACACAUGCAAGUCGAGCGGCAGCGGGUUCCCGCGAGGGGAUGCCGGCGAGCGGCGGACGGGUGAGGAACACAUCGGAAUCUGCCUGGUUGUGGGGAUAACGUAGGGAAACUUACGCUAAUACCGCAUGAGACCCUGAGUCGACGGACGUGGGGGUGGAAAGUAGAGGGACCGUUCGGCCGUCACGCGACCAGAUGAGCCGAUGUCGGAUUAGCUAGUUGGCGGGGUAACGGCCCGCCAAGGCGACGAUCCGUAGCUGGUCUGAGAGGAUGAUCAGCCACACUGGGAC
rnacentral:rRNA from 1 species